UACGUAGGGUGCGAGCGUUGUCCGGAUUUACUGGGCGUAAAGAGCGCGCAGGCGGUCGAUCAAGUCGAGUGUGAAAGCCCCCGGCUCAACUGGGGAGGGUCAUUCGAUACUGAUCGACUCGAAGGCAGGAGAGGGUAGUGGAAUUCCCGGUGUAGUGGUGAAAUGCGUAGAUAUCGGGAGGAACACCAGUGGCGAAGGCGACUACCUGGCCUGUUCUUGACGCUGAGGCGCGAAAGCUAGGGGAGCAAACAGG
rnacentral:rRNA from 1 species